GACGAACGCUGGCGGCGUACCUAAUACAUGCAAGUUGAGCGAUGAAGAUUGGUGCUUGCACCAAUUUGAAGAGCAGCGAACGGGUGAGUAACGCGUGGGGAAUCUGCCUUUGAGCGGGGGACAACAUUUGGAAACGAAUGCUAAUACCGCAUAAUAACUUUAAACAUAAGUUUUAAGUUUGAAAGAUGCAAUUGCAUCACUCAAAGAUGAUCCCGCGUUGUAUUAGCUAGUUGGUGAGGUAAAGGCUCACCAAGGCGAUGAUACAUAGCCGACCUGAGAGGGUGAUCGGCCACAUUGGGACUGAGACACGGCCCAAACUCCUACGGGAGGCAGCAGUAGGGAAUCUUCGGCAAUGGACGAAAGUCUGACCGAGCAACGCCGCGUGAGUGAAGAAGGUUUUCGGAUCGUAAAACUCUGUUGGUAGAGAAGAACGUUGGUGAGAGUGGAAAGCUCAUCAAGUGACGGUAACUACCCAGAAAGGGACGGCUAACUACGUG
rnacentral:rRNA from 1 species